rnacentral:rRNA from 1 species
UACGUAGGGUGCAAGCGUUAAUCGGAAUUACUGGGCGUAAAGCGUGCGCAGGCGGCUUUGCAAGACAGAUGUGAAAUCCCCGGGCUUAACCUGGGAACUGCAUUUGUGACUGCAAGGCUGGAGUUUGGCAGAGGAGACUGGAAUUCCUGGUGUAGCAGUGAAAUGCGUAGAUAUCAGGAGGAAUACCGAUGGCGAAGGCAGGUCUCUGGGCUAUAACUGACGCUCAUGCACGAAAGCGUGGGGAGCAAACAGG